rnacentral:misc_RNA from 1 species
UCUUUCUGGCAGGGUAUAUGAGAUCGUCGCUGAUUGGCUGCACCUUGCUCAAGCCGAUCUUCGAUCGAUCGAUAUCCGGCCGCGGGACGGUCACACUCACAGGUCGGCAUGUUGGUGAACCUUUCCUGUUUAGCUUAGAUUUCACGUUAUCAUGGUUAUUCAUGCCAACAAGAGCUGCAAACAACUUCUCUAAUUAGUAGAAUGUGGACGGACAUUGCAUUCAUUCCCAUUCAGCCAUUGGACUGAACCGGUACCAAGACCGGAACUGUAACACAGUAAGGAUGGUCAAUAUGAAGCGAGCUUCAUUGAAUUCCUCCAAGAGCUCUGUACUCUGUUCUGAUCAUUUUGAAGAUGCUUGCUUUGACCUGGGCAGACGAUACGUCUUAAACAGGAUGCUGUCCCAACCAUAUUUGAUUUCCCGCCUCGUCUUCAGAAGAAUUCACCCAAACCAAGGUAUUUCCCAAAAGACUUUUCGAUUCAGCAAACAACCUCCCAGAUACUGCAAAGACACCAGUGCCAAAGUCUUCAGCACCUUAAUUUCUCGAAGACCACUCCUACUGAAUACCAGAAAGUCCAAGAGGGGUAAAGUGGAAGUCAACAACAAUAAUGGACUGUAUUAAAACUUGGAGAAGAGGCUGAAAACCACACAGAAGUCCUACCUUAUACAUUACUUGCUUUUAAGUUUGGACAAACAUUGAUUUGCACAACUUUACAACAAAAAAUUUACGCUGUGUGGAUUCUGAUUAUUUAAAAUAGCUCAAUGAAAACGUUUAUCACUGGGCAUGUAACAAAAAUGAAUUCAUUGAAUUUGAAGAUGUCUUACAGUAUAUUCAUUCUGAUUUGAAUGUCAGAAGAGAAAAAAGUUUGUGAAAAGUAGGAAUGACGGCAAGCUGACAGAAGAAUAGAAUACAUGUAGGAUAGAACAAGGCCAGAGUUAUAAAUGAGCUGUUGGAUAGAGACAAAAAGAUGAAUUAAGAAUGGGGGUGAUAGAGAAAUAGAGACAGGAAUUGGGGAGCCUGUGAUGAAUGCCUGAGAAAGUAAAAGUUACCAUAUUUUAUUUUUUUAAGGAUUUGAACAGUCAGGAAGAAUGUGGUCUUUUUUCUGUUGUUAUUUCUCAAAAUACUGGUAUGUUUUGUGUACAGAAAGGGGUAUAAUCCUUUGCAAUAAUCACUCUCACAGAAAAUAUUAACUAAUCAAAAGAAAAGUCAAAUAUUUCACUGAUUUACAAUUGUUCGGUCACUCUCAUAUCUAAAGUUACCCCCCCCCCAUCAUUUCAAGGUAUUGGAGAGAGAGGUUGGGCAGGACAUGGCUGUCAGCAGAAAAAAAAUGCAGGGUGGGGCAAAACAAUUUUGGGAUAUGUGCGAGGGAGCGAAUGCGACAGAGCAGAAUUUUGUGGGGGGAUAUAUGCGAGAGAGCAAAAUGACAGAAGGAAAAUGCAGGGGCCAAGAGAUUUGAGGAAUAUGUAAGAGGGAGCGAAGUGACCAAGCAGAAGAAAUGUAGAGGACAACAAAUUGUUGGGUAUGUGAGGGAGCAAAG